GAGGGAUAGGAGGUGGGCCUUGUUGGAGGAGCUUUCAAAAGCCCACACCACACCCAGUCUCUGUCUCUACAGUGUGCUGCUGGACUUGAUGGCUGUUGGGUACUGGUCCAGUGUGAUGGCUGCCUUCUGCUGCCAUGCUUCCUGCCAUGAUCAUCGCGAAUUAACUACAGGGUCUCUCCUAAAUCCCGGACCUGCAUGAUUGAAGCCAAGGAUUACCUUGAACAACUAAUCCUCCUAUUUCUCUCCUAAGUGCUAGGAUUAGAUGUGUAUGCCCAGUCCCCUGUUUGUAUAGAGUUGAGGAUUGAAUCCAGUUGGGGCUAGGUGAGCAUGCUGGGAAUGAGCUAUAUCCCUAGCCCUCACUUUUGUAUUUUAACUUACAAUAAUCUUCUUCAUUCAGUCAUUAAACAUAGUCCCAAAAAAUCUAA